rnacentral:rRNA from 1 species
AGUGAACGCUGGCGGUAGGCCUAACACAUGCAAGUCGAACGGCAGCGCAGUAAGAGCUUGCUCUUACGGGUGGCGAGUGGCGGACGGGUGAGGAAUACAUCGGAAUCUACUUUUUCGUGGGGGAUAACGUAGGGAAACUUACGCUAAUACCGCAUACGACCUACGGGUGAAAGCAGGGGAUCUUCGGACCUUGCGCGAUUGGAUGAGCCGAUGUCGGAUUAGCUAGUUGGCGGGGUAAAGGCCCACCAAGGCGACGAUCCGUAGCUGGUCUGAGAGGAUGAUCAGCCACACUGGAACUGAGACACGGUCCAGACUCCUACGGGAGGCAGCAGUGGGGAAUAUUGGACAAUGGGCGCAAGCCUGAUCCAGCCAUACCGCGUGGGUGAAGAAGGCCUUCGGGUUGUAAAGCCCUUUUGUUGGGAAAGAAAAGCAGCAGGUUAAUACCCCGCUGUUCUGACGGUACCCAAAGAAUAAGCACCGGCUAACUUCGUG